rnacentral:rRNA from 1 species
UACGUAGGGGGCUAGCGUUGUCCGGAUUUAUUGGGCGUAAAGAGCUCGUAGGCGGUUCGGUAAGUCGGGUGUGAAACCUCCAGGCUCAACCUGGAGACGCCACCCGAUACUGCUGUGACUAGAGUCCGGUAGGGGAGCGUGGAAUUCCUGGUGUAGCGGUGAAAUGCGCAGAUAUCAGGAGGAACACCAGCGGCGAAGGCGGCGCUCUGGGCCGGAACUGACGCUGAGGAGCGAAGGUCAGGGGAGCAAACGGG